UUGAAAAGAACUUUGAAGAGAGAGUUCAAGAGUACGUGAAACCGUUCAGGGGUAAACCUAAGAGACCCAAAAGAUCGAACGGGGAGAUUCAUCGUCGGCGACGCUGGCUUCGCGUCGGUGGGCGAUGUCCCGCGGGGCCUCGCGGCCCGCGCGCGGACACGCCGCCGCGCGUCGAUGCCCGGCGUCCGUCGUCGUGCACUUCUCCCCCGGUAGAACGUCGCGACCCGCUGGGUGUCGGUCUACGGCCCGGGUGCGGUGUCUGCGGUGUCGCCGCCAAAAACGGCGCGCCGUCAAACCCCCGGUCGCCCGGCCGGCUGCCCGGCGGUACGCGCAAGGUAUCAGGCCGCACCGUCGUUCGUUGCGCGCGCGCGCGCGCGCCGGCUCCUCCCGAGUCGUGCGCCGCGCCGCGCGCGCGACGCCCGUGUGCGUCGAGCCCGUCGCAAGCGCGCGCCACGGUAAUCCACGGAGGCAUAAACGGACCUAGCGCCGUCCCCGUGCCUGGCCCGCUGUUCGCUCGUACGGCUAACCUUCGACAGGCCCGCGAACGUGCCCCGCGCGCGCGCGCGCUCCCCCCCCGGGGACCGUCGCGCGCGGGGUGCCGAUACCGGUCGGCGACGCUACUGCUUUGGGUGCUCCUAGGACCCGUCUUGAAACACGGACCAAGGAGUCUAACAUGUACGCGAGUCACAGGGACUCGGCGAGAUGCCCAAGGGCGCAAUGAAAGUGAAGGUCGGCCCCGGUCGUCGACCGAGGGAGGAUGGGCCGCGCCGCGCGCGCGGCCCCGCACUCCCGGGGCGUCUCGUUCUCAUCGCGAGAAGAGGCGCACCCAGAGCGUACACGUUGGGACCCGAAAGAUGGUGAACUAUGCCUGGUCAGGACGAAGUCAGGGGAAACCCUGAUGGAGGUCCGUAGCGAUUCUGACGUGCAAAUCGAUCGUCGGAACUGGGUAUAGGGGCGAAAGACUAAUCGAACCAUCUAGUAGCUGGUUCCCUCCGAAGUUUCCCUCAGGAUAGCUGGCACUCGGCCGUUCCGCACGGAACGCGCGCGAGUCUCAUCUGGUAAAGCGAAUGAUUAGAGGCCUUGGGGCCGAAACGACCUCAACCUAUUCUCAAACUUUAAAUGGGUGAGAUCUCUGGCUUUCUUGAAUUGUGAAGCCACGAGCUCUCUCUCGGAUCAGAGUGCCAAGUGGGCCAUUUUUGGUAAGCAGAACUGGCGCUGUGGGAUGAACCAAACGCGGAGUUAAGGCGCCCAACUCGACGCUCAUGGGACACCAUGAAAGGCGUUGGUUGCUUAAGACAGCAGGACGGUGGCCAUGGAAGUCGGAAUCCGCUAAGGAGUGUGUAACAACUCACCUGCCGAAGCAACUAGCCCUGAAAAUGGAUGGCGCUGAAGCGUCGAGCCUAUACUCCGCCGUCAGCGGCAAGUGGGGCCGGCGCGCCGGGCGACGCGCGCGACACGUCGUGCGCGGGGCCCGCGCGCCGCCACGAAGCCCUGACGAGUAGGAGGGUCGCGGCGGUGUGCGCAGAAGGGUCU
rnacentral:rRNA from 1 species